rnacentral:misc_RNA from 1 species
GAGAGAGAGAGCAAGAGGAAGAGGAGGGAGAGGAGAAGGAGGUGAUAGAGGGAGGAGGAGGAAGAAAGGAAAAGGAGAGAGAAAGAAAAAGAAAUGAAGAGGAGAAGGAAAGAGAAUGAAGAGAAGAUGAAUAAGAAGAAGAAAAAGAGGAAAGAGAGAGAAGAGAAAGAAGAAAAAGUUGGAGAGAGGGAAAAGGGGAGCUGUCACUAAUUCAUGGGGAAAGUAUGGGAUUAUCAGACAAACUGACUUGUGGUAUGUUCUUCACAUUUUACAAUUUUUUUUUCUGUUUUGAAAUUUUUUUUUUGGUUUGGGUUUUAAAGUCAAAUGCUCUAUUGAAUUUUUCUUUCUUGGCUGCUCAGAAAAUGUGGGAAAACUACAAGGAAUUGUCUUUUGAUUAUCUACAUGUAUCAUAAAACAUUUAUUUGCAAAGGGUGAGCAACAAUAGUCUUUAUGGCAUCCUCAAGUCAGUCAGCCGAUGAGAUCUUACAACGAGAACAAAACAUUCAACGAUGGCAUGAUCUAAUUCAAAAUUUAGAAUCUUUGCAAGCUGAAGAAAAGGGUAUUGACAUGGAAGUUCGUUCAUUGCCACCAUUUGAUCACACUAAUAUUGAAGUAAGAUCAGUCAAUUCCGAUAGUUUGCUUAAAUGCUGGAAGUUACUUCCUUCACAUAUGCAAAUAAUGUUUGAAAAGAAGUAUGAGAAGAUUGCCUCUUUAUUACAAGUCAAGGUGUAAAACUUCGCCUUGAAAGCAUUAUUGUCUUUAGGGAAUCCUACUUAAAGGGGUCUUCUCCUUUAAUGGCAUUUAUAUGACCCCGAUAAU